rnacentral:sRNA from 1 species
AAUUUAAAUAUCUUUCCCUCAGGUAUUAUAUUCCACAUUUACUGUUUUUUUUUAUUUCUUUAUUAAUUUAAUUAACCUCAAUGGCGCUUUAUUAUUAUUAUUGCUAAUUACCUGCCUGUAAAUCGUUAUUAUUAGCGGGCAAAAUUCUGGGAAAAGUUUAAUUAUUAAAAGCCUUACCGGUAUUACCUUACCUCGCAAUACCACAUUUUUCAGUCGUUAUCCUACGAAAAUAAUCUGUUGCAAACAGGAUGUAAAAAGCGUUAAAAUUAUUGCAAUUGCUAAUACGAAUGCGUCCUCCAACGAGGUGGCCAAUUUAAAAAGGUUUGUUCGUUUAAUAGACGCGGAUUUCGACAGCGAAAAAAAUGGCCGAGAUUUUUAAAAAUGCCAAUAAGGUCUUCGGAAUUGGCCAAGCAAAUUUACGUUUUGCAUUUAGCGAAUAUACGCUAAAUAUAAAAAUAUGCGGCCCAAAAGUAAAUAUAAUAUUAAUUUUGCAUAUAUAAAUAACGUAUAAUUAACGACUUCCGAGCGAAAAUAUGGCAGUGAUUAAUAUACCAGGUCUUUUUUAUAAAGAUAUUUGUGGCAAAACAAAUUAUUUUAACCCUAAUAUAUUGGCUGGACCAAGAUUAACUGCUUUUGCAAUUAAAAUGUAACAAUUGCAAACGAUAUUGCUCUGGUGCGUAAUAUGGUUACAAAUUAUAUGGAGGGUCCGAGGACAGUGUAAAAAAAAAUAGCAGCCUUUUUAAUUAUAGCAAAUGUUAAAAGUUCUGCCUAAUAUUCUGGCUAUUAUUCCUGCGAAUCUCCCUUUGGUUACCCAGGAAAUUGUUAAUUUUACGAAGAAGGCCGACGAAAUGGGCUUUAAAAUAAUAGAAGUUUUUACUAAGCCCGAUUUUACCAUCGAAAAAUAUACGCAAAAAGAUACCAUUGGCUGUUAUAUUAUGGAAAGCGAUUUGAACCUGGGCUAUUAUAUGUUAAAAAAUCGCGGCCCGAAUAAUAAUAUAACGGCCGCCCAAGGGCGGGCGUUAAAAAACAGCUUCUUUUUACAGGCCCCCUGGUCCGAGGUAAAACGCUUCCACAAAACUGGAAUGCACGAAUUGAAAAUAAAGGUAUUUAACCUCCUCCUCUACCAUAUUAACCUAUUUUGGUACGAUAUAAGGAAUAAAGUUACCCGCCAGUUUUAUAACCUCGAAUUUUUUCGAAUAAAUUUGGGUAAUUUAAAGUUGCGGCGUUAAUAUUUUUUCGCCUUUGCCGAAAUUUUCCAAAAGAUUGCAAAUAAUUAUAUAUUGGAAUUUAAAAAGUUUUAAAACCAAUUGAAGGAAUAUUUCGGUAGGUUGGAUAACCAAUUCGCUAAAGCCAUUUCUUAUAAAAACCGAAUCGAUUAUAAUAAAAGCCAAAAUGCUUUCGGAGUUGAAAAGGAAUUAUAUUAUACGGCAACCAGUCCAAAGUUUUAUUCCGAAUUAUUAGGCGGUAACGAAAGUUUUAAAAACAAUCGGCCAACCUUUAAUUCCAUUUGUUAGGCCGGGACGAUUUUACGUACUAUUUUUUCUAUUAUAAAUUAACUUUUAAACAAAUAAACGAAUUUUCGGCAUAUUAAAAGUCUGUUUAAUUUGGCGAGGGAAUAUGAAAAUGUUAUAAACGCAAGGUUUAAUUUUGGUAAUAUUAACCCGAAUAGGCUAAAACAUAUUAAAACGGUUCGCACCGACUAAUAGGGAACGGAUCUCGAAAUUUUUAAUCGUUUAAUUAUUAAAAUUUUCCAAAAGAAAUUAAAAGACUGGGAGACGUUGGCCUUAAUAUAUGUUUAAAUUUAUAUUAUCGCGGUACAGGGUUUUAUCGAAACCGUUAUAAUCGAGGUCUGUCCCACGACAAUCCGUAAUAAGCUGCAGGAUUAUUUAAUUAAGAAAAUCGAAAUAUAUUAUUAAAAGGCCGAAAAAAUAAUUAGGUUUUUUGCUGAACGCGAGCGUAUUGCCUUUAUUUACCGUAUUAAUCCUAAAUUAUAUAUUGGUUUUCGCGCCAGGGUUAAAAGAGCGUUUAACGGGGACGGCAAUAAUUUGACCGAAAAUGCAGAAAUACGCUUUAAUAAAGCGCAAUUUAAGGUUAUAUUUAUUUAAAAACAGAAUAAAAUUGGGCAAACACCUAUAAAAAUUUACGGCGUGUUUAACAAUUAUUAUAAAAUUACCUCGAUACGUUUUGUCGAAAAUAUAACUCGCCUGGUCGCACGCCAAUUCCUAAAUAUUUUUGGGAAAACACCUUUUACGGUUUUUAAUUCCAAUUUCGUCGCCGCUCUUAUUAAAGAACAAAUUGAUUAAAUUGUUUAUAAAGACCCGGAGGUUAUAAUCCAGCGCAAAAAAGUUAAUCGCGAAAUUACCAAUUUGAAAAAAGCCCUUACUUUUUUCCACUAGUAGCAUCGCCAAUAUAAUUUUGUUGGGAAAAAACAAAAUAUUAUUGCGUCUCGAAUAUAAUAGUGAAAUGACGGGAAAAGAAUUUGGAUAAAACAAAUGGGGUUAAUAAAAUUGGUGCCUUAAUGUGGGAAUAAUAUUAUAAUAAAAUAUAAAAAUAUAAUUAAUAUUGUUAUUAUAUAAACUAGUUUAUUUUUAACUGGAUGGCCGUUUUUAUUACUGGUCCUAAUAUGCUGGUUUUCCAUACGACCAAAUAUAGUAACAUUUAGACGGAUUACCAUCCCCCACUUUCAUUUUCCCCCUGCGCUGUUUUUGCCAGUUUAAAUUUGCGAAUAAUAUAAAAUCGAUGCCGAAAAAUUUUGCACAAAUGGUUGCGUAUUUAAUAUUCUCGUUAUAUAAACUGUUAAACUGCCUAAUUUUGGUUAGAUAUUUAUCCAAAACCCAUUCCGAAAAGCGAGGCUGGCCAGAAAAAAUGAACGAAAACCAAGCAAAUUGUAAUAUUAAAAAAAGUCCGAACCAGGUAUUAAAUCGGAAAAGAUAUAUAACGUUUAGCCUAUUACAAAACUGCUUUUUUCCAUUGUUUUUAACACCAGCGAUAUUUAUUAUAUCGCUGGCCCGGACGAAUAAACCGCUGUUGCCGCACAGGGGGUGUCCCAAAACGGCGCCUAUAUUCGGGUAUUAAAAAUAUGCAGUUUGGUAACGUGCCUUUCGCCGUGGUCGGUUCGCAGCACCUAUUACGGUUCGCGUUUAUCCGGUCCCAAUACCGACAUUUUUAUUUUAUACGGAAGGUCGGCGCACCGCAAAUCCUCCACCUCCCAAACCACAAUAUAUAAAGCCCGUUGGCAGAAAUAUAUUAAUGGAACGGGUUAAUUUUGUUAUUUAAUUGCGUUCGAAUAUAUGCAAUAAACCGACCAAAAAAGAGGUUUAGCUGUAUUAAUAUAUAAUAUAUAAUAAUAUUUACUUUAUUAUUUUAAUUGCAACUAUCUUCUUAUAUAUUUGCUAAGGUCCUUAUAUUUUACGACAAUUUGUAUUUUAUAGUCGGUGGUUUGGCUUAUAACGAACAUUUCUAUCUCGUGUUUCGGAAACGUAUAUUU